CCUACGGGGGGCAGCAGUGAGGAAUAUUGGUCAAUGGGCGAGAGCCUGAACCAGCCAAGUCGCGUGAGGGAGUACUGCCCUAUGGGUUGUAAACCUCUUUUGUCGGGGAGCAAAAGCCGGACGUGUCCGGCUGUGAGCGUACCCGAAGAAAAAGCAUCGGCUAACUCCGUGCCAGCAGCCGCGGUAAUACGGAGGAUGCGAGCGUUAUCCGGAUUUAUUGGGUUUAAAGGGUGCGCAGGCGGGUUUUUAAGUCAGCGGGAAAAUCGUGGGGCUCAACCCCAUCCAGCCGUUGAAACUGGGGAUCUAGAGUGUGCGAGAGGUAUGCGGAAUGCGUGGUGUAGCGGUGAAAUGCAUAGAUAUCACGAAGAACCCCGAUUGCGAAGGCAGCAUACCGGUGCACAACUGACGCUCAGGCACGAAAGCGUGGGUAUCGAACAGGAUUAGAUACCCCAGUAGUC
rnacentral:rRNA from 1 species